AUACAACCGCUUCUCUUAACAUUUUCUCAAACUUACUUACCAUUACAACUCUAAACACACCACCACAACCACAACCAGCUCCUAGCCUCUUUCACCUUUCUUGACCAUCUGAGAAAAUGGUGACCGUCGAGGAAGUUCGCAAGGCUCAACGGGCAGAGGGUCCAGCCACGGUCUUGGCCAUUGGGACUUCAAAUCCUCCCAAUUGUGUUGAUCAAGCCACAUACCCUGACUACUACUUCCGUAUCACCAACAGUGAGCACAAAACUGAGCUCAAAGAAAAAUUCCAGCGCAUGUGUGACAAAUCUAUGAUCAAGAAGCGUUACAUGUACUUGACUGAAGAAAUUCUUAAAGAGAACCCAACUAUGUGUGAGUACAUGGCACCUUCCCUUGAUGCCAGACAGGAUAUGGUGGUGGUUGAAAUUCCAAAACUGGGAAAAGAAGCUGCUACCAAGGCCAUUAAGGAAUGGGGCCAGCCAAAGUCCAAAAUUACCCAUUUGGUCUUUUGCACCACUAGUGGUGUGGACAUGCCCGGGGCCGAUUACCAGCUCACCAAGCUCUUGGGCCUCCGCUCAUCCGUCAAGCGCCUCAUGAUGUACCAACAAGGCUGUUUUGCCGGCGGCACAGUGCUCCGGUUGGCCAAGGACUUGGCCGAGAACAACAGGGGUGCUCGUGUUCUCGUUGUGUGCUCGGAGAUCACCGCCGUCACCUUCCGUGGGCCCAGUGAUACCCACCUUGACAGUUUAGUGGGCCAGGCUUUAUUUGGGGAUGGUGCAGCAGCUAUUAUUGUGGGUGCGGACCCAAUUCCCGAGAUCGAGAAGCCCCUAUUUGAAGUGGUCUCAGCAGCCCAAACCAUCCUUCCCGACAGUGAUGGAGCCAUCGACGGACAUCUCCGUGAAGUUGGGCUUACAUUUCAUCUGCUCAAGGAUGUUCCCGGGCUUAUUUCGAAGAACAUCGAGAAGAGUCUGAACGAGGCCUUCCGGCAUCUCGGAUUGGAACUCACUAUUCUGGAUUGCACACCCAGGUGGCCCAGCAAUUCUAGACCAAGUAGAGUCCAAAUUGGCCCUGAAGCCUGAGAAAUUAGAGGCUACAAGACACAUACUAUCUGAGUACGGAAACAUGUCGAGUGCCUGUGUGCUAUUUAUUUUGGAUGAGGUAAGGAAGAGGGCUACCAAGAAAGGACUAAAAACUACAGGAGAUGGACUGGAUUGGGGUGUGCUGUUUGGGUUUGGACCAGGACUCACUGUUGAGACCGUGGUGCUUCACAGCGUGGGCUUGAAUGCUUGAAGCCAUCAUCAACAACAUCAGUGUUGUUGAAUUUUAUGCAUCUGUUUCGUUCGUAUAUUAUGGAUUGUUUCUACUUUUCGUGUUAGUUUUUGUGUUUUUGGAAUUUUUUUUUUUUUAAGUUGGAAACGAGUGUGGGCAAUGGGCAUCAUGGGGUACACUUCAUUGCAAUGGUUGUGUUUAUUUUCAUGCUGCUUAACUUACUACAUCGGUGAAGACAAAAGGGGACCAUGUAACGACUUAUAUAUUGAUGAAUAAUAUAUAUGUUUCAAGCAUUUCAUGCGA